rnacentral:rRNA from 1 species
GACGAACGCUGGCGGCGUGCUUAACACAUGCAAGUCGAACGGAAAGGCCCUGCUUUUGUGGGGUGCUCGAGUGGCGAACGGGUGAGUAACACGUGAGUAACCUGCCCUUGACUUUGGGAUAACUUCAGGAAACUGGGGCUAAUACCGGAUAGGAGCUCCUGCUGCAUGGUGGGGGUUGGAAAGUUUCGGCGGUUGGGGAUGGACUCGCGGCUUAUCAGCUUGUUGGUGGGGUAGUGGCUUACCAAGGCUUUGACGGGUAGGCGGCCUGAGAGGGUGACCGGCCACAAUGGGACUGAGAUACGGACCAGAGUUCUACGGGAGGCAGCAGGGGGGAAUAUUGCACAAUGGGCGGGAGCCGGAUGAAGCAACGCCGCGUGCGGGAAGACGGCCUGCGGGUUGUAAACCGCUUUCGCCUGUGACGAAGCGUGAGUGACGGUAAUGGGUAAAGAAGCACCGGCUAACUACGUG